GCUGAUCAUCCCCUCGGCUACUCUCUCACUGCCCCCAGGAUAGCUACUCUAGAAGCUGUUGACAAUGAGCUGGAAUAGGAUCAGGUGAUGUUGACGUAAUUGUUGUUGAGAGUUGGAUUUAGUUUUAAAUGGCUAUAACUAGUGAAGCACCAUAAGUAUAUCAUAGUUGAACGGUUUACAACUUCCCUUUGGCUAUUGGAUUGGGGAUGAUAUGUGGAACUCACUGAGAGCUUUGUGACGCAUACUCUAGAAAGUUCCCACCAAAAGGUACCAGUAAAAGUGACAUCAUGGCUGAUCAUCCCCUCGGCUACUCUCUCACUGCCCCCAGGAUAGCUACUCUAAAAGCUGUUGACAAUGAGCUAGAAUAGGAUCAAGUGAAAUUGACGUAAUUGUUGUUGAGAGUUGGAUUUAGUUUUAAAUGGCUAUAACUAGUGAAGCACCAUAAGUACAUCAUAGUUGAACGGUUUGCAACUUCCUUUUAGCUAUUGGAUUGGGGAUGAUAUGUGGAACUCACUGAGAGCUUUGUGACGCAUACUCUAGAAAGUUCCCACCAAAAGGUACCAGUAAAAGUGACAUCAUGGCUGAUCAUCCCCUCGGCUACUCUCUCACUGCCCCCAGGAUAGCUACUCUAGAAGCUGUUGACAUUGAGCUGAAAUAGGAUCUGUUCUUACACGACUAGGAGAUGGCUCUCUCCAAGAAUAAACUACCAUGAAACUCAUUUAUGAUUGAAAGCAUAGUGAAAGCAUUUCAAGCUUAGGGGCAAGGUACUCUUAAAGCUGUAACUGUACCAGCAAUUAUCUUAACUGCAAGAGGCUCCAAAAAGCUGGCUUGAAAUUACCAUAGUCCAUUCUGCAUUCUGGACAAAAUUGAUUGGUUGCCUAAAAUAGGACUUGCCACCUGUAGUUUGUUAUCCAUCCAAUUCUUCCGGGUAUAUUGCUCAAAACCAUUUCAAAGGAGGAAUCAAUAGAUCCUAUACUAGCCAUCAGUACAUGCAGGUGAGAUUCUUCCCAGCCCCCAAGUUGUGCUUAAGUAAUGACCAGAGGCGGGAAGCAGCAGCUGUUAAUGCACUGGGAAGUAAGGGAAACAACAUACCAAAUGCAUUUACAAGUAGUUCAAACUCGGCUUAACCAAAUAUCAUUCAUAUUCAGUUAAACCCAAAUUCAAACUGAUUCCAAGCCUAAAAAAAGUCAUUUAGUUAACAAACCAAGCUCAUGCUCCAAAUUAUUUUAUUCAAAAGCUCAUGUAUAUGUCUGUUUAUCCAAUAAUAUAUUAAGCAUGUUUUAUAUUUCAUCUAUUAAAAUAUAUUAUAGUAACAUAAUAAUUUUAAAUUUUAUUAAAGUCUUAUAUAAAUAUUAUGACAAAUAACUAAAUUAGUUCCCGAAAUUUAACAUUUUAUUACUAUUUGCUCUCUAAUACUUUUUCGUAACAAUUGUUUCCCACAUUUUCCAUUUGUUUUAAAUAUCCAGUUUCUUCCAUUUUCUAACAGAAAAAAAUUAAAAUAAUUAGGUCAUUUUUGGACGCUUUAAAAAACAACUCAAAAAAUUAUUUCGAUUAAUUAAUGAAAUUAAUAAAUUAGUAACAAUAAAAAAUUAAACGUAAUAUUGUUAUUAAGUUACUAAUUUAAUUAAUUAGUCAAAACUAUUUUUUUUAACUUUUUUUUAAGCGCCCAAAUAAGGCCUAAACAUUUUGAGCCUUUUUUGUCAAGAAAUUGAAGGGAACUAAGCGUUUGAAACAAAUGCAAAUGUCAUGAACUAAAUUGUAACAGGAGCCAAAUUUCAAAAACUAAUUUAGUAAUUUACUUUAAAUAUUAUAAUGUAUAAAUAAAUAUAUUAUAUCUUUCAUAAAAAUGAACUGUUGCUAUCUUUUUAUCAAGCUUAUGAAGUUCUAAAAUUGAGGUUUUUUUUUCCAAAUCAAAUUCAAACUUUAAAUGAACCAAGCUUGAGCCCAAGACAGAGUUCAAAUUAACUUCACGGCAAACUCAAGUCUAACAGUAUUCAAAGUAAUCAAGCACCUUUCCACAGAGAAGAGUGAUGUUAAGUGCAUGAACCAGAGCUGGUUUACUGGACGAGUCUACCAAUGUGAGACCCACAAGAAGUAUGAAUCAAAAGAAGAAGGGAAGUCACAUUUAAAAGAAGGCAAAUUGACUUCUGCUUCUGUUUCUGUUUAGGAUUCUAAUGCAGACAGUUCUACAGGUGGAAUUCACAUAGAAUUCACCCUAACUUUGUACUCUACUUUUACAUUAAAUAAGAACUCUACAAUUAGGAGAGUUGUUUAGGAUAUUAGUUAUUGAUCCUAAGUUGAAGCAAUGCUCCCUAUAAAUACAUAGCUUAAUAAUGGAUUAAGCAUCCGGUUUUAAUCCUUCAACCAGAACUAUUCUCUAGAGGUUGUGGGUUCUCCCUGACGAUAGAACAUUUAUUAGUAGUCAUAAGUACUGAAAGUCAAACAAGUAAACUUCAUGCUUGCUGGAAGAUUUCUUUAUUCAUAGACCUGUGACCAGAUCGCAAGCAAGAGGACCAAAUAACCAUUUCAUGUCUCCUUCAGCUCAAACACAGACCAAAAAACUCAUAGGCUUUCCC
rnacentral:lncRNA from 1 species